UACGGAGGGUGCAAGCGUUAUCCGGAUUCACUGGGUUUAAAGGGUGCGUAGGUGGGUAGGUAAGUCAGGGGUGAAAUCUCCAAGCUUAACUUGGAAACUGCCGUUGAUACUAUUUAUCUUGAAUAUAGUGGAGGUGAGCGGAAUAUGUCAUGUAGCGGUGAAAUGCUUAGAUAUGACAUAGAACACCAAUUGCGAAGGCAGCUUGCUACACUACUAUUGACACUGAGGCACGAAAGCGUGGGGAUCAAACAGG
rnacentral:rRNA from 1 species